GCUGGCUCUUUACCAAAAAUAGCCAAUGAAUCGGUGGCUGCUUGAGCAAUGCCAGAGAAUACGAGCUGAGAAAGGGCGGCAGUAUAAGCUCCUCCAUAAGAGGUGCUAGAUGGACGAAGAUUUUUCAUGUUAAAUUGGUAUUUCUGGUAAUGUGCAUUAAGGAGCAAACUAUGAGCACGGGGGCCAUCCCCGAGCUUUUUAAGAGCUGAAAUAGCAGCACGAAGCUCUGCACCACGAGUAGAAGGUUGACAGGCAAUUUCAGCAAGCUGAUCAGCCAGCUUUUGCCUACGUUCAGCAAUGGCAGUUUGUAGUGACAACAGCACAGCAUGACCUAACGUUUUCUUCUCUUUUGCAUCAGAUGCUACGCGUUCUCCUUCAUCAAGACUCAACAAGGCUUCAUCUACUCUCCUUUCAGCUAAUAGAACAUCCAGGUGAUCAGGAAACUCCGUAAGCCACUUCUCUAGGUCUGAAGGCUCCCUAACGUCAGCAGUAGGAGAGCUAUCGGACGUGGACUCGGGAACAACAUCAGACAAAGAAUCAAUAUGAACUCCCUCAGCUAAACCAUGAAUUAAAGUUGCCUGAGUAGAUAGCAAGUUUUUCAUGGAUGAGAGUUCACCCUCCAAAUCUGAUAUCUCUUUUGAUGUGCGAAUGAAAGCUGUAUAAUUGGCAUAGACACUUCUGCGCAUUUCCUCAGCAGAAGCCCUUUUCAGUUCCAAUAGAUAAGAGCACAGCUGCCUUAUUUCCUUCUCGUUGAGAGAAUGACAUUUGGACUGGACAAAAGCAUCAGCAUCGAAAUUGUCGGAUUUGAAGACGUUAAGAUUUUCUUCGAGCUUGGGGCCGGUAUCCUUGUUGAUUCCUUUAGACUGAGUGACCGCAUGAGCUCUUGAACGAGAGGAUUUGACGGAAGCCAUGAGGUGAAUCUUAAUGGCGGAUGUUUAGGGUUGAAAUAUAGAGCAAAAAUAGGGAAGACGUAAGAAAAUCAAAAGGGUAGAUCUAAUCCUAAGGUGAGAGUUGUUAUCGCCAUCGCCAUGAUUGACGAAAGAAGAGGAGAUUAUUAGUUGUUCGUAGAAAGAGAAUAAAAAUUUGUUUGAUUGUGUUGUUGGUUCGCUAAUCGCCAG
rnacentral:misc_RNA from 1 species